rnacentral:lncRNA from 1 species
UCAAGCAAAAAACGAUUGCUCUAACUAGAGGAACCAUUCCAUGCAAUUGUCUACUGAACCCAUGAUAGGACCACAACUACAUGCAUGGCAAACAAGAACUAAAACUCUUAGACCAUACACUAUUCAGUUCUGUAGUAAAAGAAAUGUGCAUGGCUAAAAUAAAUCUACUAAAUUACAUGGAACAAGGGACGGCCACUGAAAGAAUGCUAAGCCACUGGAAACAGACGGAGAACAAAAAGUGACACUGUCUAAUCAAACAAACACUUAGAAGAUAAAAAGAGGACUCAAAAAACUGUUCAUGUCGUGUUGUCGUGUCGUCAAUCCACGCACUUCAAGGACUGAACUACUAUCAGCUCGAAAGAAGACCUCCCACUUGACGACGUAUUAAUUAUUUUCUGUCAGGCCACAAUCGAGAGGAGGUUAAUCUAUAGGAUCCAAGAUGAUUCCUCAUUUAAUAGGAGUACUUGGAAUAUACUUGGGGUAGUACAUAUAAUUUGGCGAUGUCGGUCAGAGUAGACCGACCUUGCAAUUUGGGGUAGUACCUGUGCGCCGAUGCUACCUAUUUCCUGGCCAGAUCCGGCCGUCUUUAGGCAUCGCCGCUCGCCAGUCUUGCUCCCCUUGACCUUCUCGUUUGAUUCCCCGCUGCACUAGAGCCCGACUGCGGAGGAGGCGCAUCAGGCAAGGAGGGAAAUCAGGUUCUGGUGCUGCUCCUGCCAGUCAUAGCUCCUGGCCGACUUGCUCCCCUCCUUGGGCAGCAGCACGCCGUCUUCCUGCGCGGCGGCCUCCUCCACCGCCGCCGCCAAGCACCUCCCAACGGCCCGGCUCCUCACACUCCUCUCGUCGAUCCUGACUUCCUGCCACCGCACACCAUGCGCUAGGCUCGUCGCUGCCGAGAUCUUGUGUGCGGUGGAGGAGACCGCGAGGGAGGGAGGGGCGUGGCAGCGUGAUGGUGGGAGGUUGGUUGGAGGUUAGAAGGGGAGCUGGUUGCCCGGAGCAGGAGGGAGGAGGACAUCGAUGGGAGAUGCCAGCCAGCCCAA